AACCGGAGAAGUGCAUCGGAAACUGGAUAACUUGAGUGCAGAAGAGGGUAGUGGAACUCCAUGUGUAGCGGUGGAAUGCGUAGAUAUAUGGAAGAACACCAGUGGCGAAGGCGGCUACCUGGUCUGCAACUGACGCUGAGACUCGAAAGCAUGGGUAGCGAACAGGAUUAGAUACCCUGGUAGUCCAUGCCGUAAACGAUGAGUGCUAGGUGUUGGAGGGUUUCCGCCCUUCAGUGCCGGAGCUAACGCAUUAAGCACUCCGCCUGGGGAGUACGACCGCAAGGUUGAAACUCAAAGGAAUUGACGGGGGCCCGCACAAGCGGUGGAGCAUGUGGUUUAAUUCGAAGCUACGCGAAGAACCUUACCAGGUCUUGACAUCUUGCGCCAACCCUAGAGAUAGGGCGUUUCCUUCGGGAACGCAAUGACAGGUGGUGCAUGGUCGUCGUCAGCUCGUGUCGUGAGAUGUUGGGUUAAGUCCCGCAACGAGCGCAACCCUUGUUACUAGUUGCCAGCAUUAAGUUGGGCACUCUAGUGAGACUGCCGGUGACAAACCGGAGGAAGGUGGGGACGACGUCAGAUCAUCAUGCCCCUUAUGACCUGGGCUACACACGUGCUACAAUGGACGGUACAACGAGUCGCGAACUCGCGAGGGCAAGCAAAUCUCUUAAAACCGUUCUCAGUUCGGACUGCAGGCUGCAACUCGCCUGCACGAAGUCGGAAUCGCUAGUAAUCGCGGAUCAGCAUGCCGCGGUGAAUACGUUCCCGGGCCUUGUACACACCGCCCGUCACACCAUGAGAGUUUGUAACACCCAAAGUCGGUGGGGUAACCUUUUAGGAGCCAGCCGCCUAAGGUGGGACAGAUGAUUAGGGUGAAGUC
rnacentral:rRNA from 2 species